CAAUAAAGCCUUGUCUUAGUUUAAGCAUUAUACCGUGAAACUGCGAAUGGCUCAUUAAAUCAGUUAUCGUUUAUUUGAUAGUACCUUACUACUUGGAUAACCGUGGUAAUUCUAGAGCUAAUACAUGCUGAAAACCCCAACUUCGGGAGGGGUGUAUUUAUUAGAUAAAAAACCAACGCCCUUCGGGGCUUCUUGGUGAUUCAUGAUAACUUCACGGAUCGCAUGGCCUUGCGCCGGCGACGGUUCAUUCAAAUUUCUGCCCUAUCAACUUUCGAUGGUAAGGUAUUGGCUUACCAUGGUUUCAACGGGUAACGGGGAAUUAGGGUUCGAUUCCGGAGAGGGAGCCUGAGAAACGGCUACCACAUCCAAGGAAGGCAGCAGGCGCGCAAAUUACCCAAUCCCGACACGGGGAGGUAGUGACAAUAAAUACUGAUACAGGGCUCUUUUGGGUCUUGUAAUUGGAAUGAGUACAAUUUAAACCUCUUAACGAGGAACAAUUGGAGGGCAAGUCUGGUGCCAGCAGCCGCGGUAAUUCCAGCUCCAAUAGCGUAUAUUAAAGUUGUUGCAGUUAAAAAGCUCGUAGUUGAAACUUGGGCCUGGCUGGCAGGUCCGCCUCACCGCGUGUACUUGUCCGGCCGGGCCUUUCCUUCUGGAGAACCUCAUGCCCUUCACUGGGUGUGUUGGGGAACCAGGACUUUUACUUUGAAAAAAUUAGAGUGUUCAAAGCAGGCCUUUGCUCGAAUACGUUAGCAUGGAAUAAUAGAAUAGGACGUGCGGUCCUAUUUUGUUGGUUUCUAGGACCGCCGUAAUGAUUAAUAGGGACAGUCGGGGGCAUCAGUAUUCAAUUGUCAGAGGUGAAAUUCUUGGAUUUAUUGAAGACUAACUACUGCGAAAGCAUUUGCCAAGGAUGUUUUCAUUAAUCAGUGAACGAAAGUUAGGGGAUCGAAGACGAUCAGAUACCGUCGUAGUCUUAACCGUAAACUAUGCCGACUAGGGAUCGGGCGAUGUUCUUUUUCUGACUCGCUCGGCACCUUACGAGAAAUCAAAGUUUUUGGAUCUGGGGGGAGUAUGUCACCU
rnacentral:rRNA from 1 species